rnacentral:tRNA from 1 species
GGCGCUAUAACCAAGUGGUUAAGGCGACAGAUUAGGAUAUAGGUACCCGUAGCCGCGGUUGUCAAGUGCUGAAAGCCCAGCUGCUGGACGGCGCCAAUGACAAGUCCGAUCGACUUGCAGCUGCCAAAAUUAUCUGUUACUCUCUGAGUGCGCAGGUUUAAAUCCUGCUGGUGUCG